rnacentral:pre_miRNA from 1 species
AUACACGCAGCUAAAAGAACUUAUUGAAAUGCAGAUCCUGAUUCAAUAUGUCUAGGUAGAGGCUUUAAUUCUGUAUUUCUGAUAAGCUCCCAGGUGGUGCCUUU